UGUGUGCCUGGCUGCUUUCAGCGCCAUUCAUCAGCAGAGCUAAGCGUGUCAGUUGCUUUAUAAAAGUGUAUUUUUUUGGUCUUGUAAUUUACAGGAAGCAGUACGCCGUCUUCACAACUCGGAGAUAAAUUGUAGCAGGCGCUACGAACCGGAGCAAGGACUAACCUCGUCUCAUAACGAGGCCGUGACCUAUUUGCUCGGAGCUAUGUCUGAAAGUCCAGAUUUACAUGAUGCUGAUAAUGACGCCAUUGUGUCUGCCUGUAAGACUUAUUACGAGACAGUACGCAGGAGCUUCAGGUAGAAACAACCAGAUCUGGCAUCGCGGGCAGAAGCUGUGACCAGUUCAGCUCGGAGUCGGUCGAGAAGAAAAGAGGCUGCUGGAAGCGAGACAGAGUGUGCUGGCUGUGGGUGAGGUGGACAUUUGGAAGUGCGCCACUAUAGACCUGAUGAUCUGAAAUACAGGGCAGAGCACCACAGACGUCUGCAAAAUGGACCGAAUUCAGACAGAAUGCUGCCAGUCAACAGCUCCGAGGCGGCCGCGGGUUAGGGGUUGACGGUGCUGUAGGAUAGGAUAGGCUGUGGGAUAUUUGUUGUGUGUGCUGUGUGUCUCCUAUGCUUUAUACAUAGUUUUUUCUGAUUGUGUUUGUGUUUUGUGUUAAUAAAGCUCUAUCUUUGAAUAAACA